rnacentral:rRNA from 1 species
AACGAACGCUGGCGGCAGGCUUAACACAUGCAAGUCGAGCGAAGACUUCGGUCUUAGCGGCGGACGGGUGAGUAACACGUGGGUAACCCACCCCGAUGACCGGGACAACCCGAGGAAACUCGGGCUAAUACCGGAUGUGCUCCUUGACCUUGAGGUCAAGGCGUAAAGAUAGCUUCGGCCUUCGCAUCGGGACGGGCCCGCGGCCCAUUAGCUUGUUGGUGGGGUAAAGGCCUACCAAGGCGACGAUGGGUAGCUGGUCUGAGAGGACGAUCAGCCACACUGGGACUGAGACACGGCCCAGACUCCUACGGGAGGCAGCAGUGGGGAAUCUUGCGCAAUGCGCGAAAGCGUGACGCAGCAACGCCGCGUGGGGGAAGAAGGCCUUCGGGUUGUAAACCCCUUUCAGUUGGGACGAAGCUUCGCCGGUGAAUAGCCGGCUGGAGUGACGGUACCUUCACAAGAAGCCCCGGCUAACUACGUGCCAGCAGCCGCCGUAAAAC